CAUGCAAGUCGAACGGUAACAGGAGAGAGCUUGCUCUCUUGCUGACGAGUGGCGGACGGGUGAGUAAUACAUGGGAAUCUGCCCUGAGGUGGGGGAUAACCCGGGGAAACUCGGGCUAAUACCGCAUGAUCUCUUCGGAGCAAAGUGGGGGACCUUCGGGCCUCACGCCUUGGGAUGAGCCCAUGUCUGAUUAGCUAGUUGGUGGGGUAAAGGCCUACCAAGGCAACGAUCAGUAGCCGGCCUGAGAGGGUGUACGGCCACACUGGGACUGAGACACGGCCCAGACUCCUACGGGAGGCAGCAGUGGGGAAUAUUGGACAAUGGGGGCAACCCUGAUCCAGCAAUGCCGCGUGUGUGAAGAAGGCCUGCGGGUUGUAAAGCACUUUUAUCGGGGAAGAAUAGGUUGUCGUUAAUAGCGCCAACACUUGACAUUACCCGUUGAAUAAGCACCGGCUAACUCCGUGCCAGCAGCCGCGGUAAUACNGAGGGUGCGAGCGUUAAUCGNAAUUACUGGGCGUAAAGGGUGCGNNGCNGAAGCUUAAGUCUGAUGUGAAAGCCCCGGCUUAACCUGGNAAUGAAUUGCANNNNAAACUGGGUUUCUANAGUGUGGUNANGAUAGUGGAAUUU
rnacentral:rRNA from 1 species